GUGAGGAAUAUUGGUCAAUGGGCGAGAGCCUGAACCAGCCAAGUCGCGUGAAGGACUACGGCCCUAUGGGUCUUAAACUUCUUUUGUAUAGGGGUAAAGGUAUGUACGUGUACAUAUUUGCAAGUACUAUACGAAUAAGGAUCGGCUAACUCCGUGCCAGCAGCCGCGGUAAUACGGAGGAUCCGAGCGUUAUCCGGAUUUAUUGGGUUUAAAGGGUGCGUAGGCGGGGCAUCAAGUCAGUGGUGAAAUGGUGUGGCUCAACCAUAGCAUUGCCGUUGAAACUGAUACCCUUGAGUGCAGUAGAGGUAUGCGGAAUGUGUUGUGUAGCGGUGAAAUGCAUAGAUAUGACACAGAACACCGAUUGCGAAGGCAGCAUACUGGACUGUAACUGACGCUGAAGCACGAAAGCGUGGGGAUCGAACAGGAUUAGAUACCCGGGUAGUCC
rnacentral:rRNA from 1 species